AGAGUUUGAUCAUGGCUCAGAGCGAACGCUGGCGGCAGGCUUAACACAUGCAAGUCGAACGGGCGUAGCAAUACGUCAGUGGCAGACGGGUGAGUAACGCGUGGGAACGUACCUUUUGGUUCGGAACAACACAGGGAAACUUGUGCUAAUACCGGAUAAGCCCUUACGGGGAAAGAUUUAUCGCCGAAAGAUCGGCCCGCGUCUGAUUAGCUAGUUGGUGAGGUAACGGCUCACCAAGGCGACGAUCAGUAGCUGGUCUGAGAGGAUGAUCAGCCACAUUGGGACUGAGACACGGCCCAAACUCCUACGGGAGGCAGCAGUGGGGAAUAUUGGACAAUGGGCGCAAGCCUGAUCCAGCCAUGCCGCGUGAGUGAUGAAGGCCUUCGGGUUGUAAAGCUCUUUUGGCGGGGACGAUGAUGACGGUACCCGCAGAAUAAGCCCCGGCUAACUUCGUGCCAGCAGCCGCGGUAAGACGAAGGGGGCUAGCGUUGUUCGGAAUUACUGGGCGUAAAGCGAGUGUAGGUGGUUGUCAUAGUCAGGUGUGAAAGCCUUGAGCUCAACUCAAGAAAUGCACUUGAUACUGGGCGACUAGAGGACCGGAGAGGAUAGUGGAAUUCCCAGUGUAGUGGUGAAAUACGUAGAGAUUGGGAAGAACACCAGUGGCGAAGGCGGCUAUCUGGACGGUUUCUGACACUAAGACUCGAAAGCGUGGGGAGCAAACAGGAUUAGAUACCCUGGUAGUCC
rnacentral:rRNA from 1 species